UUUCAGUUUCUCUUUUGGGCUUGCGUUCAGACUGCUGCCAUGCUGGCUGGCUAGGUCGCUCUGGAUAAAUACUGAUCUACUACCAGAGGACCCAUAGAGUGCCAAGGCCUCUUCACUGACAUCCAUGUUCAGAAGUCUGGAUCAGUCCCAUAAUAGCCUCCCAGACAUCAGUUUGUUCAGCUUAUGAGAAGAUAUGCUACUUACAGCUGAAAUCCACUGGAAGGAGACCCAAAAUAUAGCUCUGUUGUGGUGAAGUUAAAGAAAUGAAAUUAAAAAAAUGAUCUUUCUCUAUUCUGCCACCAAUGAUUCACCUUCAAAAUGAUGCUCCAUUUGUCUUCAUAAACACAGAGCCCUCAUCCAGUGGCUGAUGGAAGCAGAGG
rnacentral:lncRNA from 1 species